CGGCUUGUCAGAAGAAGGAGAAAAGCUGUGUGAAUUAGAAUCACAGUGGGCUCGUCUCCCCUGUCCUCACACCACCCUUCUCUCAUCCCCAGAGCCUGCAUGCAAGUAAGAAUUUCCAGAGUCUGAAGCCCAGAUCUUCCCCUGCACUGGGGCUCCAUCCAGCUAGGGACUGUUUGGUUUGGACUCAGGAAGGUCCCCUCUGGUCUAGACGUGAACUCCCACUUCAGCUGGAGUGUCAUCUGUUCCUGUUUCCCCAGGGUCUCGGUGACUGGAUCUGGUUUGUGUUGUGUCUUUUCCCUUGGAGAAGACACAGUAGAGGCUGAUUUGGCCACACAGAGGGCUGGUGUGGAAGAGGAAAGCAAUGUCUCUGAUUACUGAAUGCACAGGUCACUAGGAAGAGUGGACCCCUCGUCAGAAACCCUCAGGUCUGAGAGGACAUCUGUUUCGAGGAGCGCAGUGGGUAUAAAUAGAGCAGGAGCCAGCCUCGCUGCUGGACAUAUACUGGACAAAAGAUGUCUCUUCUAUCAGCAGAGUGAUGAUGGUGAAGAUGGUGAUGGAGGUGUAUAUGGAUGGUCAAAACUGGGUGGACAUGUUCCUUCCCCUUUGUACCUGAGUGUGGACACAUGGAGCUUCUGUUUCUUGUUUUUAACCCCGAGAGCAUCAUCCCAGUCUUGUUGCCGGACUGCUCCAGUACUCAAGUCUGAGAUGCUGACUCUGAUGCAUAUCAUUAAAGAAUCAAAGUUUAGUGAAGAGCUUCCACCCACUCCAGACUCCUUUCCACAACCUCUUCCUGGAGUGGGCAUCUCCUACCUUUAUAGGACAAUGUACCACAUUGAAAAAUUUUGCCUUUUCCCCAGCAAGCCACUCCACAGGCUGUCAGACCUGCCUGUUCCUGACAAGGGCUGUUCUUGUCAUGGGCGGACCUCAGUUUCAGGGGGACGGCGAUGA
rnacentral:lncRNA from 1 species